rnacentral:lncRNA from 10 species
GCGAGGCAGAGGCUGGCUGCUCCAGGAAGAUUCCUGAGGUAUCAGGAAGGUUUCUGAGAGCUCCGACUGAGUACAGCGUGUGAAAGAGUGCAGAAACUGACUGCCAGAGUGAAGGUUGCCAAAGGAAGACCCAGCAUACCAAACAGGAAAAAAAAAAGAAGAAGAAGAAGAAGUCAGGUCAAGUGAGCCUGAGUCGCUCUCAUAGUUUGAUUGAGACCCCAGGCUCACCUUGCUUAUCUGACAUAGGUCUGACCCACCUGUCUCGUUAGCCCACCACUGCCUGACCCAGCAAGGAUUUCGCUCCCAGGUUCUUGCACAUGCGUGGCUAACCCAGGCCCAGGCUGCUUCUCCAUUCCUUCCAUUUGCUUUUCACCCCUGCCCACCUCACUGAUGAUCAGCCUCACUGGCCAGCCCACCAGUGCUGCCAUCUGCUUCUUGGAUGUAUUCCUUGCUGCCAGGCAAACCUUGCUUCCUGGAUUAUUUGGAGGCAGAGAGGUGCUUUGUCCUUUUCUGGUAACAAUUAAUGACACAAAGGCAAGGUGAAAAGGCGCUGUGCUUUUUUUCUAAUCCACUUGUAUGGAUUUCAGACCAAAUUUUUAAAUAAAUGUACAGGUAAUUAAGUAUCCCUCAAAUUGUAUUGAUGGGCAUGUGUUUGCACAACAAUUACUUUAUGAAGUCGUAGUUUACCUUCCCCUUCCAGACGUAGAUGCCAUGGCACUUGUGUUAAGAUUGGUAAUAUUCUGUGAGCUGUUGGAAACUUUUCGAAUGUGCCCUUUAAUUUAUUUUACUGAAAAAGAAGUUUAUGCCCUGGGAUGUCUCCAUUACAAUGAAAUGAUAUUUUGUUUGUUCAGGCAUAAGUUUUGAAAUUCUGGAGUACCUUGACUGAUAUUUAGUGAACUUUAUAUCUUCAGAUAUUAGCACUUUAAAAACUCAUGUUUGGUGAUAAUCAAAUUUUGCAGAACAUGUACCUUAGUAGGAAUUACUCACAUUAAAAAAUGACUUUUUAC